rnacentral:misc_RNA from 1 species
AACGCACGAGACCUGCGGACCUGCGGAGGGAUCAUUACAGGGUAAUGCCGGAUAAUGUUUUUCUGCUCUUUUUUGAGUUGAAAUCUUAUCCCGGCAGCCAUGAUCAUCCCUUUGUGCAUAUAUUGAUAAUCGAGGGUUUUUGUGGCAGACCUCAAAAAUCUGUCAUGAUUCCCUCUAAUAAACUUUUUUUUUUAUAAAUUUGACUGAAUAAUUGUUAUUUGAUAAUAAAUACAACUUUUA